UUCGCCGCUGCCGCCGCGACUUGAGGGCGCGCGCCCAGCUCCGCGGCUGCCCCGCGCCCGGCUCCGCUCCGCACCGCGCAUCGCUCCGCGCCCGGCCCCGGCCACCACUGGGAUUACCGCGGCGGUAAAACCGGGAUCGGUCCUCCCCGCCCUCCGCAGGACAUUUAAGGGUUCAAGGAAAGCUUUAAAAGGCGAGUUUUCUGGGAAGGAAAUCAUAUUUUUGUGGGGUUUUUUUAAUGAAGAAAACCAUCUGAAUUGCUUAACGUUUCUACGGUAGAGAAAGUUGCAUUCUUGCAGCGCAGGAGGAAUUCUUUCCUGCAUUACAAAUUUGGAAGAAGUGUUAAAAAGCGAGAGUCGGAAAAUGGUUCUCUCAAAGAGGCGUGGAUGUAUCAGGAUGUAGUUACUGCACAAAGUUUAUACUUGGAUAAUUCUGGACAGGAAAAAGCAGCCCCAUUCCUGACCUCCUGAAGAGGCUCCCAUCCUUCAAGCCUCAGCAUAAUGAAUAGUUUGCAUCACGCAGCGCUGAAGUUACCACCUCCGACUACUACGCUGCACAGAAGAGUUUGUAAGAGUUACAAAGAAAGUAAUUCCUGCUAAAGGCAUUAAACCAAACAAAAGAGGUUCUUCAUUCACAGACUUUACAUGAGGACAAAAAUAAGAGGGAAGCUGAAGCUUUUCUCCGCCCAGGCCUGGUGUGCUUAUGUACCAUGAUAAAUCUUGGUUGGAAUGCUCAUUGAGUAUCGUGCCAGGAGCCAGGAAACACACACCACCAAGGAGGAGCGUCUGAGUAAACCCCGUCGAGAAAAAAACAGCUCCAUGGAGUAAACCAUAAGAGUGACUUGCGAGAAAGACAUUCCUUUACUGGAUAUCCUCAAGCACAAAAUUUACUCAUACCUUUAAAUACGGUAGGAUCAAUAUUAAUUUCUUUUGCUUUUUGUGCCUCAGAGAAUAAAGUUCAAUUAAUAUAUGAACCCACAAGAGAAAAGGUCAUGACACCGCUUAAUGCAUAGGUCAUCUUGCAGAAGUUCUCACAACCCUAAUUACAAUGGUAAUUGAAUUAUGUUGUCUUAAAAGCUAUAAAAAUGCUAAUUACCUGAGCUCAAUGUACAAACACACUACCAAUGCAAAGUACAAUUUCAGUCUCAAGAGUUAAUUUAUAUGACCCUACCUUGCACAGUUUGAACUAAUAAGAUGGGAAAAUGUGGUUAAACCUGCCAAAUAGUCUCUUAUUAGUGUACUGCUUAGUAAGAAGACUUUUGAGAAUGACAAAUAUUUAAACAUGAAAUUAAGCACGUAAUGAACUACUCCAUCCAGUCAACUAGAAAGCCAUAACUGUACAGCUAUGUCAGGUUGUUAGCUACCUACCAAUUCUAACAUUCACCUUUCUAAACAUUCUGGCUCGAAACCCAAGAAAAGUAGGCCACAGUAUUUAUAAGAUAAACAGCAUGACAUUGAGCACUGGGAAAACCUUGGAAAAAAGCCUUCAGCUGGCCCUUGCUCUUUUGUCUGCAUUUUAUGCUUUGCCAUUAGAACUCUUUUGAACCUCCAAAAUAGCCACCUCUAAACUUGUGGGUUUGGUA
rnacentral:lncRNA from 1 species